GGUGCUGUGGUUUAGCUGGUCAAGGCGGCUGUCUUGUAAACAGGAGAUCCUGGGCUCAAAUCCCAGCAGUGCCU
rfam:Danio rerio chromosome 4, GRCz11 reference primary assembly.